rnacentral:misc_RNA from 1 species
CACAUGAAAAUGUUGUGAAGCUUGUGAAUGUGCACAUUAAUCAUGCUGAUAUGUCUCUGUAUCUGGCUUUUGAUUAUGCUGAACAUGAUCUUUAUGAAAUCAUUAGGCAUCACAGAGAUAAGGGUCCCCAUGGUAUCAAUCAGUACACGGUGAAAUCAUUGCUGUGGCAGCUGCUUAAUGGACUGAACUAUCUUCACAGUAAUUGGAUCAUACAUCGAGAUCUAAAGCCAUCAAAUAUCCUGGUUAUGGGUGAGGGAGACGAACAUGGGGUUGUCAAAAUUGCUGACUUUGGACUUGCAAGAAUAUAUCAAGCGCCG